GACGAACGCUGGCGGCGUGCCUAAUACAUGCAAGUAGAACGCAGUUGCGAACGGGUGAGUAACGCGUAGGUAACCUUCCUCAUAGCGGGGGAUAACUAUUGGAAACGAUAGCUAAUACCGCAUACUGUGAGAUGGACCUGCGUUGUAUUAGCUAGUUGGUGAGGUAAAGGGUCACCAAGGCGACGAUACAUAGCCGACCUGAGAGGGGGGGCGGCAAAACUGGGACUGGGACACAGCCCAGAGUCCUACGGGAGGCAGCAGUGGGGAAUAUUGCACAAUGGGCGAAAGACUGAUGCAGCCUUGCCGCGUGUAUGAAGAAGGCCGUCGGGUUGUAAAGUACUUUCAGCGGAGAGGCGUUACCCGCAGAAGAAGCACCGGCUAACUCCGGGCCAGCAGCCGCGGUAAUAC
rnacentral:rRNA from 1 species